CACUUGUUGUAAUGCUUAAUUCUGCAGAGACUUCUCCUUUGGUAACUCAAAGUAAUGAUGACAAGGAGGCCAUUAGCAUAUACAGGCAUGCUAAAGAAGAAGCUGGAAAUGGUGAAUGCAAUACUGGAACAGCUCUAAUUUAUGGUUAUAACUUAGCUAUUUGGCUACUCUCUGUACUUGCUUGUCAUGAUGAGAAAACUAAAACUGUGAUAAUGGAGGCCGGAGCAGUUGAAGUCCUCACAGACAGAAU
rnacentral:misc_RNA from 1 species